rnacentral:rRNA from 1 species
CCUACGGGUGACAGCAGUGGGGGAUAUUGCACAAUGGGGGGAACCCUGAUGCAGCGACGCCGCGUGGGUGAAGAAGCGCCUCGGCGCGUAAAGCCCUGUCAGCAGGGAAGAAAAUGACGGUACCUGAAGAAGAAGCCCCGGCGAACUACGUGCCAGAAGCCGCGGUAAUACGUAGGGGGCAAGCGUUAUACGGAUUGACUGGGUGUAAAGGGGGCGCAGACGGCGUUGCAAGCCAGGAGUGAAAGCACGGGGCCCAACCCCGGGACUGCUCUUGGAACUGCGUGGCUGGAGUGCAGGAGGGGCAGGCGGAAUUCCUGGUGUAGCGGUGAAAUGCGGAGAUAUCAGGAGGAACACCGGUGGCGAAGGCGGCCUGCUGGACUGCAACUGACGUUGAGGCCCGAAAGCGUGGGGAGCAAACAGGAUUAGAUACCCUAGUAGUC